AAUUUUAUAACUUUGAAGGAUUUAUCUUAAUUAAGGCAGUUAUAUUUACGUAAAUUUUAAAUAAUAACUUAGGAGAAUAUGAAAUAAAAGCAAAUAAUGGAAAUUAUUUUAAAUAAACUCAUAUAGCAUUUAGAAGUGGUUAGUGUUGUGAACUGAAAAUUAUAUCCACAUUUAUGAACUUCCUCAACGAUUGCUUUGAACAUAUCCUUACCUCUUGACGGUCAUAACCUCACAAUUAUCGCACACGUUAUCGUUGUUUAAUAAAAUAUUUACACUUUUACUUUUUGGAAUAUGUUUAACAGAAAAAUAAAUGGGUCCGUGACGUCAAGAACGAAAAGAGAGCAAGUGUUUGAUUACAAUUAUUAUGACAAUUUAAUAGUUCGUUCCGUUUAUGCUGUUGUGUGUCGCAAACUUGUCGCUACCAUUCUUCGUUCUAAAAGAGUUUCACAUAAUAAACUCUUAGUGCUCAAAAAUUCAAUAUUUUGGAAUAUUUAAGUUUAUAUAGUUUCUAUUUCGUUAUAAAGAAAAUGCUGCCGCCACAAGGGUUUGCGUCGAUGCUUUUUGCUUUAGUGGAGCCAACAACCAGCAUGAGAAUAAAUACAGAAUUUGUUGGUAGAUGUAGAAGAUCGAAGAAUUUAAUUCAAACUUUUCUUAUAAAUUGGAUAUGGAGGGUACUUCAUAGGUAGUACCAGCGGUUAAACUGAACUUAAUUUUACAACGAAUGUGAAUCUCAUUGUACUGAGUGGGAAGUGGCCCGAACACGAGCCCGAGAACAACUACUCCUUUUCAAUUUACUUCUUUAAAGCUUGCUUGAUAGAACUUAGACGGCCAAAACUCGCCUUCGUUUCAGUUACUAACGUAUCCACUAUGAAAAGGACUAACUCUUAUAAUUACUCGCAGAGAUAUGGUGCUGCCGCUAAUAUGCUCUCGGAACUGUAUGCGUUGAAGACUUCUAAUCCAAAGAAAAUAUAUUGAAACAAUGCAAUUUCAUGUAUAAAGUAUUUAUUUUCCAUAGAUACUAUUCAUGUUAGUUGUAGUUUUGUAUACAUAAAAUUAUAAAUAGACAUUCUUAAUGUGUAAUUUCUUUAAUUUCUUCAAUCUACCUUUUUUGCUAAUCAUAACAAGACAUAGUAGUUCACAUAUACUGUUAUUUAGUAAAAUAAACAAAUAGCUCAUAAGACUUAUUAUUCCAUGUGGGUAUGCCAAUAAGUAUACUCAAGCCGUACACAUGCAAUUUAAAUCACAUCAAUUUAGUUUUUCUUAUGAAUUAUGAAUCUGUAGAUUGCGUUUGUAUGUAGGUGUAUUGGUACUUGUGGUAUUGCGAAUGUAGACACAGAAAGUUUAUAAUAUUAUAAUUGAUAGAGAAUUAAAGUACAUUUAUAUACUGUUAGGAAUCGUGUAUUCGUUUGAGAGAAAUGUGUUUACAAUCAAGUUGUUGAUAUA